rnacentral:piRNA from 1 species
UGAUUGCUAGGAAAUUGAUAG